rnacentral:snRNA from 1 species
GCGCUUCAGCAGCACAUAUACUAAAAUUGUAACGACAGCAAAGAUCAGCAUGGCCCCCGUGCAAGGACAACAUGCAAAUUCGUGAAGCGUUCCAUAUUUUA